GGAGGGAUGGCUGAAUGGUGAAAGCAAACGCCUGCUAAGCGUUUAGGGGGCCAAAAGCUCCCUUCAGGGUUCGAGUCCCUGUCCCUCCG
rnacentral:tRNA from 1 species